rnacentral:misc_RNA from 1 species
AAGUCGUAACAAGGUUUCCGUAGGUGAACCUGCGGAAGGAUCAUUAACAAAUCAAUACACACCGUGCCGGUACUUGCUAGCAAGUAUCGGUAGGUAGGAGAGCAGUGUGGAUCGCAAGAUCUCAUUCUCUUCUUCAACUGGGUUUGCUGGCAGAUCCGCAAGGACCUGCCAGCAAAAACAGUUGCGCAGUUUGAAAUUUGCGCCAACGUGCGAAUUUCAGCUGCACACACGAUAGUCGUUGACAAACAAAUCGACAACAAAAAACAACUUUUAACAAUGGAUCUCUUGGCUCUU